AUUCAAUUUAGGCAGAGGGAGUGUAGGAUGUGUUAAAGGUCUCAACUCAGUAAUGAUGGUCUUAUUUCAGGGAACAUAUCUGCAUAACAAAGAAAUGAAAGCUGCAAUAGGGCCUUGAACAUGCCAUUCUUGGCACUGAUUAAUAUGUGGUGAAGCCUGAUGAUAAUUUGGAAGAAGUUAAAGAAGCAUCCAUGGAAUAUAUGCUGUUAGUCAUGAGCAUGAUUCACAGAAUCAGUAAGAGUGUUUUAAGUACAAGUAGGAUAAUGACAUUAACCUUUUCCAUGGGACUCUCCAGUCUUUAGCUAAAAUGGCUAACAAGUUUGUGGUUAGCAGAGGAUUGGAAAAAAAAAUGGACCCCGACCUCUGCAGUGUUUUUCUCUUAUUUCUGAUUCUGACUAUUCUGAAGAUGUAGAUAAAUUUAAGAUUGUAUUAUGAUUUUGUGUACGAGCUUAUUGGUUUCUUAUUUUUGAAGAAGCAACCAAUGUCAUCUUUGGCCUUGCUCUGGGAUACAAGUCUAUCAUUAUUCCUAUUUUUGCCAUUGCAAUCAGCAUUUUUGUGAGUUUUACUUUUGCUGCAAUGUAUGGCAUUGCUAUGGCUGCCCUUGGGAUGCUGAGCACCAUUGCGACAGGGUUGGCUAUUGAUGCCUAUGGGCCAAUCAGUGACAAUGCAGGAGGUAUUGCUGAGAUGGCAGGCAUGAGCCAUUGUAUUCGUGAGAGAACUGAUGCCCUUGAUGCUGCUGGCAACACUACUGCUGCCAUACGCAAGGGAUUUUGUCAAAAGGCACCACGUGGGUACCUGCCAAUAGUAACUCUCAAACUCGGGCCAUGUAUAGGCCCAAAAUGUAAGCCGUAACUCGUUAAGAGAAGUUCACUAUAAAAUGGGAAGAAAGCAGAAUUAGGGUUUUAUAUCGUGCAUAGUGUGGUAGCAGCAGCUGAGCUUGUUUCCGUUGCCGCUUCACCCACCGUAGCAACCAUGGUAUCCGAACGAACUUGGUCCUCUUAGCUCUU